rnacentral:tRNA from 1 species
AGUAAAUUAGUUUAUUAAAACAUUAAAUUGCAAAUUUAAAAUUUUUUAAGAAAUCAAUU